rnacentral:lncRNA from 1 species
GGGGUUACAAGUGUGUGUCACUAUGCCUGGCUUAUGAAGACCUGGGGAUUGAACAAGGGCUUCAUACAGAAGCCCGAUUUGUGAUGGCCUUCCUAGAGAGUCGCCCACCUGCGUGGCAAUAGCCAGACUGUCCUGCUCAUUCCCGCCUGCACACGGACCCCUCUUGGGGCAAGGCAGACCAUACCUACCAACCAGGAUCCUUCAAGAGGCUCCUGAAAUGCAAAUGACGAAUGGCUUGUUUGCAAAUCAAAAGUGGGCGGUGAAAGAAGUGCCCUCCAGGAUCCCAUCUAAGAAGACACAUUACUUAGUUUUCGUAUCUCUACGUGACAGCUUCUUAGACUUCCCUUAUUUUGACAACCUUGAGAGUUUUGGACAGUCCUGAGUUCCUCAACUGGGGCUUGUCUGAUAUUUUUUGCACGAUUACUAUGGGGUCAUGUGUCAUAGGGAGGAAGACAUCACACGACAGAAGAUCAAUAUAAAUCACCACUGCUGAUGUUGGCCCUGAUCACUGGCUGAAAUGGUAAUUUUUUCCACUGUGAAGUUUCCACCUGCCGUACACAGUGGCCGUUUUAAAUUUUCUUCACGGUCAUACCUCUGAAAAUAAACACCCGAAAGAUGUUCUCUCACCCCACAGUCUGGAGCGCGGCUCUGCUCCACUGGGAAAGCCCAGGGCUUCCUACAAGAAGUCACUACCAAGAGCGCGGCUCUCACCUGUGGGCGUGGCCACACGCACCCCGCCCCUCCAGAGAGACCCCGCCCCGCUCCGCUCCUGUGGCUCCGCCCCGGGGAGAGUAAGGCGGCCG